rnacentral:rRNA from 1 species
GUUGUAUAGUCAAGUAAUUAAGUGCAUGUGGUGGAUGCCUUGGCAGUCAGAGGCGAUGAAAGACGUGAUAGCCUGCGAAAAGCUCCGGGGAGGCGGCAAAUAUCCUUUGAUCCGGAGAUGUCUGAAUGGGGGAACCCACCUACUUUAAGGUAGGUAUUGCAACAUGAAUACAUAGUGUUGCAAGGCGAACGAGGGGAAGUGAAACAUCUCAGUACCCUUAGGAAAAGAAAUCAAUUGAGAUUCCCUCAGUAGCGGCGAGCGAACGGGGAUCAGCCCAUUAAGUUAUGUGUGUUUUAGUGGAACGCUCUGGGAAGUGCGAACGUAGAGGGUGAUAUUCCCGUACACGAAAGGGCACACAUAAUGAUGACGAGUAGGGCGAGGCACGUGAAACCUUGUCUGAAUAUGGGGGGACCAUCCUCCAAGGCUAAAUACUCCUGACUGACCGAUAGUGAACCAGUACCGUGAGGGAAAGGCGAAAAGAACCCCUGUGAGGGGAGUGAAAUAGAUCCUGAAACCGCAUGCAUACAAGCAGUGGGAGCACCUUCGUGGUGUGACUGCGUACCUUUUGUAUAAUGGGUCAGCGACUUAUAUUCAGUAGCGAGGUUAACCGUAUAGGGGAGCCGUAGAGAAAUCGAGUCUUAAUAGGGCGUUUAGUUGCUGGGUAUAGACCCGAAACCAGGCGAUCUAUCCAUGAGCAGGUUGAAGGUUGGGUAACACUAACUGGAGGACCGAACCCACUGUCGUUGAAAAGCCAGGGGAUGACUUGUGGAUAGGGGUGAAAGGCUAAUCAAGCCUGGUGAUAGCUGGUUCUCCCCGAAAGCUAUUUAGGUAGCGCCUCGGACGAAUACCAUAGGGGGUAGAGCACUGUUUCGGCUAGGGGGUCAUCCCGACUUACCAAACCGAUGCAAACUCCGAAUACCUAUGAGUACUAUCCGGGAGACAGACUGCGGGUGCUAACGUCCGUAGUCAAGAGGAAAACAAUCCAGACCGCCAGCUAAGGCCCCAAAAUCAUAGUUAAGUGGGAAACGAUGUGGGAAGGCAUAGACAGCUAGGAGGUUGGCUUANNNNNNNNNNNNNNNNNNNNNGAAGCAGCCACCCUUUAAAGAAAGCGUAAUAGCUCACUAGUCGAGUCGGCCUGCGCGGAAGAUGUAACGGGGCUAAAACUAUGUGCCGAAGCUGCGGAUGUAUACUUUGUAUACGUGGUAGGGGAGCGUUCUGUAAGCCGAUGAAGGUGUGUUGAGAAGCNNNNNNNNNNNNNNNNNNNNNNNNNNNNNNNNNNNNNNNNNNNNNNNNNNNNNNNNNAUGCUGGAGGUAUCAGAAGUGCGAAUGCUGACGUGAGUAACGACAAAACGGGUGAAAAACCCGUUCGCCGAAAGACCAAGGGUUCCAGUCCAACGUUAAUCGGGGCUGGGUGAGUCGACCCCUAAGGCGAGGCCGAAAGGCGUAGUCGAUGGGAAAAUGGUUAAUAUUCCAUUACUUCUGUGUAAUGCGAUGAGAGGACGGAGAAGGCUAAAUCAGCCUGGCGUUGGUUGUCCAGGUGAAAGGAUGUAGGCAUGUAUCUUAGGCAAAUCCGGGGUACUCUAUGCUGAGAUCUGAUAGCAAGCUGUACUUGUACAGCGAAGUGGUUGAUGCCAUGCUUCCAGGAAAAGUCUCUAAGCUUCAGUUACACAGGAAUCGUACCCGAAACCGACACAGGUGGUCAGGUCGAGUAGACCAAGGCGCUUGAGAGAACUCUGCUGAAGGAACUAGGCAAAAUGGUACCGUAACUUCGGGAGAAGGUACGCUGUUGUUGGUGAUGGAACUCGCUUCCUGAGCUGACGACAGCCGCAGAAACCAGGCCGCUGCAACUGUUUAUUAAAAACAUAGCACUCUGCAAACACGAAAGUGGACGUAUAGGGUGUGAUGCCUGCCCGGUGCUGGAAGGUUAAUUGAUGGGGUUAGCGUAAGCGAAGCUCUUGAUCGAAGCCCCAGUAAACGGCGGCCGUAACUAUAACGGUCCUAAGGUAGCGAAAUUCCUUGUCGGGUAAGUUCCGACCUGCACGAAUGGCAUAAUGAUGGCGGCGCUGUCUCCAGCAGAGGCUCAGUGAAAUCGAAAUCGCUGUGAAGAUGCAGUGUACCCGCGGCUAGACGGAAAGACCCCGUGAACCUUUACUGCAGCUUGACACUGAACUUUGACCUUACUUGUGUAGGAUAGGUGGGAGGCUUUGAAGCUGGAACGCUAGUUCCAGUGGAGCCGUCCUUGAAAUACCACCCUGGUAAUGUUGAGGUUCUAACUCUGUCCCGUGAUCCGGGACGAGGACCGUGUCUGGUGGGUAGUUUGACUGGGGCGGUCUCCUCCUAAAGAGUAACGGAGGAGUACGAAGGUGCGCUCAGCGUGGUCGGAAAUCACGCGUAGAGUAUAAAGGCAAAAGCGCGCUUAACUGCGAGACCCACAAGUCGAGCAGGUACGAAAGUAGGUCUUAGUGAUCCGGUGGUUCUGUAUGGAAGGGCCAUCGCUCAACGGAUAAAAGGUACUCUGGGGAUAACAGGCUGAUACCGCCCAAGAGUUCAUAUCGACGGCGGUGUUUGGCACCUCGAUGUCGGCUCAUCUCAUCCUGGGGCUGAAGCAGGUCCCAAGGGUAUGGCUGUUCGCCAUUUAAAGAGGUACGCGAGCUGGGUUUAGAACGUCGUGAGACAGUUCGGUCCCUAUCUACCGUGGGCGCUGGAAAUUUGAGAGGAUCUGCUCCUAGUACGAGAGGACCAGAGUGGACGAACCUCUGGUGUACCGGUUGUGACGCCAGUCGCAUCGCCGGGUAGCUAUGUUCGGAAGGGAUAACCGCUGAAAGCAUCUAAGCGGGAAGCCUACCUCAAGAUAAGAUUUCCCUAGGACUUUAUGUCCUCUAAAGAGCCGUUCGAGACUAGGACGUUGAUAGGUUGGAUGUGGAAGCAUAGUGAUAUGUGAAGCUGACCAAUACUAAUUGCUCGUGAGGCUUGACUAUACAACACCCAAGCAGUUG